rnacentral:tRNA from 2 species
GGUCCCGUAGCUUAACUGAAUAGAGCAUCUGACUACGGAUCAGAAGGUUGGGGGUUUGAAUCCCUUCGGGAUCA